rnacentral:rRNA from 1 species
GACGAACGCUGGCGGCGUGCCUAAUACAUGCAAGUAGAACGCUGAAGCGAGGAGCUUGCUCUUCUUGGAUGAGUUGCGAACGGGUGAGUAACGCGUAGGUAACCUGCCUUGUAGCGGGGGAUAACUAUUGGAAACGAUAGCUAAUACCGCAUAACAAUGGAUGACACAUGUCAUUUAUUUGAAAGGGGCAAUUGCUCCACUACAAGAUGGACCUGCGUUGUAUUAGCUAGUAGGUGAGGUAAUGGCUCACCUAGGCGACGAUACAUAGCCGACCUGAGAGGGUGAUCGGCCACACUGGGACUGAGACAAGGCCCAGACUCCUACGGGAGGCAGCAGUAGGGAAUCUUCGGCAAUGGGGGCAACCCUGACCGAGCAACGCCGCGUGAGUGAAGAAGGUUUUCGGAUCGUAAAGCUCUGUUGUAAGUCAAGAACGGGUGUGAGAGUGGAAAGUUCACACUGUGACGGUAGCUUACCAGAAAGGGACGGCUAACUACGUG